rnacentral:lncRNA from 1 species
AUCAACCACUAAAAGUCUAUAUUUCCUGUACGUUUUUAAAAAUUAACUAAACUUGAAUUAACCCAGUUUCUUUGAUUGCCGACUUAAAUAUUUCGUAGGAUGUUGGCAAUUUUUAAUUUAAGUUUAGGAAAUUUUAGAGAAUGGAUGAUGGGAAUACUCACAGAAGAUAAGGGAGCUACCAUUUGAUUUUUAUGGGGGGGCUAGGAUGAAAAAUUUUGUCCUGCAUUUUUUUUUUAGCUGUAAUCUCUGUCCUGCCUUUUUAUUUUUCCCUGUGUUCGGUCCUGCCUUGUUUUUUUAGUUUAUCCUGACUUUUUUUUUACCUAAAUUGUCGUCCUUACUUUUUUUUUGCAAGUGUCUCAUCCUGCCUUUUUUUUUUACUCAAAACUCCUGUCCUGCCUAUUUUUUUCAAAUUUCAUCCUAGCCCCCCCAUAAAAAUCAAAUGGUAGCUCCCUAACAUAAAAAUAAAAGAAUGGCAAAACUUACCGUUUCCUUUAUACAGAUCCAUUCACAUCUUAACCCUUUUCUCUUUUUUAUGCUAUAGAAAUAUUUAGAGCAUAAUCCCCCUGUUCCCUCACUGGAGUAAUUUUGACUUUCAACCCUCAUCAAAUGUGUUAUAGUGUUGCUACCCUUGUUUUUUUUUACUUUUUCAUGUAUUCUGAAUCCUCUAGGCUUAUAAAUAAAGUACAAAAACACGACUUCUCCUACACCCCUUUUCAUAGUUUAAUAACAUAUAGUUUUAAAAAGACAUUUUUAAAUAUUUUAUAUAAUCCUAGUUAUUUUUUCAUUCACACAUCACAUAAAAGAAUAAUUAAAUAUUUGCGAUGCAUUUAUUUUUAUCAUUUCAUUUCAUCUUUGCAGAAAACACUCAAAAUGAAUAAUCAUUUUCUGACAGCUUUAUACCUGGUGUUUACCUUCGUGGUGUUAGGUAAGUCUAUUUAAAUAUUUAUGAUUCCUUUUCCUUUAAUAAUUAUCGCAAAAUGGUUUGAUAUUGACUGUCAUGAAAUAAACUGAUGAUGUACAUUUUGUAGUAAUGUCAAACCAAAGAACAGAAUAUAGAUAGAAAUCUUGAUUUAAUGGUAAAUUGGUCAUGGAACAAUAUUUAAGGAAUGACUGUAAUAUUUUUUCUGUCUAUGAAGAAAUGACAUAACAAAUAUUGUGCACACUGAAUAACGCGGGUAGCGGGUUAUUUAACAGUGUGCACCACAUUUUUUAUGUUAUUUCGAAUAGACAGAAAAAAUAUUACAGUCAUUCCUUAAGGUGGUACCUAACACUACGGGGAGAUAACUCUGUAAUAUCAGCUAAACGUUUUAAAUACGUUGCGUUGUGAAGGCAAUAUAAAGCUUCUCAAUGAUCAAAAUUAGUGUUUGUCAAACGGCUAUAUAACCAGUGUAAUUUUUCUGUUAAAAUGGUUGGUUCAAAGUUUUUGAUUUUUUUAUAUGUUUGUCAAAGGGUCAAACUAAAUACUUUGUCAAACUUUUAUGAAAAUUAAAUCAGCCAAACUAAUUUUAGUGAAAGUGUUAGGUACCACCUUAAAUAUUGUUCCAACGCGUUAUUUUGCAAAGGUUUGCGUUGUAACGCAAAGAUUUGAAUUAUAGCGCAAAGGUUUGCGUUAUUUCGCAAAUGUUUGCCUUAUAAGUUAUAACGCAAACAGGAAGAAAUAUUAAAAAAAGUUGUGUGGCGCUAAUAAGCUUCCGUACAGUUAUAUAUGUUGUAAUGUAUUACAAAAAACGCUCGAGGUAACCCGGCUGGCCAUAAUUACUCAUCUAUAAAAUUUUUAAAAAAAUGAACUUUUAGUACAAAGCUUCGAUUUCAGGAUACAAAGUUAUGUUGUAACUAUUGCAUUCAGUUUUAUAAUAAAUAACACAAAAGGGAACUUGGUGGAGUACGUGAAAUCUUAAUAUGGUAUGGCCUCUUAAAUUACACACACGUUUAUAUAUAUAGCCCAGGUGGUCUAGCGGGACGGCUGCAGUGCAGGCGUUUUGGUGUCACGAUAUCACAGUAGCAUGGGUUCGAAUCCCGGCGAGGGAAGAACCAAACAUUUGCGAAAGCAAGAUGACGACGACGCUAUAGUUGCUGUCUACAUUUAUAAAAUGUAAAGAUACUCGUCACCGAAAUUAUCACCAAAAUUUGUUCAGAAACAUUAUAUAAACCAGCAUUAUAUCGAGCCUAAUAUAUAAAUGAUAAUAUAUAUACAUUUAAUCUAUGCACUUGGUGCGUUAAAUCUUAUUUAAUGGUAUUAUGAUAUUUUCUCUUUUUUCCAGGUUGCGCAGCACAAAAUGAUACAGAAACUACAACAACACCAAACGCCGCAGUAACGCAGUGUAUAAGCAGUGUUAUUCUUUCUGCAUGUGUCCUAAUAGCCUAUAAACUGAUGUAAAACCAGCCUUUGAGUAAUGAAAUGUCUUGUUUUAAAGAUGAUGAUGCUCUAUUCAUAUUUAGUACAAUGUAUCCGUAUGCAUUUGAGAAAUGUGUGACAUUUAACUAACUGUUAUGAAAUGGAGAUUAAAUUUGAUUAAUUCUAUCCGAUAUUUUUUCAAUCCUGUAUUUAUUGUUACUAAAAAGAACAUCGGUAGUAUAUAACUCAAAAGAUAUUUUUCUUAAUAUUCCACACACCAUGCAACAAUCACAGAUUUGAUAAAAAUUAAAAUACAAACAAUCGUAAAAGGUGGAGGGGAGUCCAACCAAAGAACCUCUCCGAAGUUAUCACAUUCAAGGUCUCUCAGAAUACUGUAGCAAUACUUGACCACCGUUACUAAUUCUUUCACGAUAUACAUUUACUGGUGGACAGCAGGGGCCAAUGUUGACGAGUGGUCUAAAUACUAAAAUCACUGUAUCACUAGCAAGUAAACACUAAUGUUCUGAUUUCGAAUCCCGCACCUUGUAGGUGCAUUCGACUCCAACCUCACUUGACUGGGAUUUUCAGUUGCCAACCUAAGGUCUGUGGUCCUCUGCGGAUACUCCAGUUUCCUUCACUAAUAUAAACUGAUCGCCAUGAAAUAGCAUAAUACUGUUGAAAGUACCAUUAAAACGUCAAUCAAUGGUGACAGCAUUGUCUAAUCAAUAUUUGUCCUUUAUUUCUCCCAAGACUUCUUUCUGUUCGAAAUAAAUGUUUUUACUCCUUAGUGAGUAAUGACAAACAUACUUGUACUAGUAUAUAUAGAUUAGUUACCGUUAGGAUUUUAUUCAUGAUAAAUUACACAAAUCACAUGUUUAACACACUCACACCAGGACUUAUUUUGUCAUUUUCAUAUCAAGAGUUGAACAAUUGAUGCAAACUGCUAAGUGAAUUUGAGAAUGGAAAUGAGAAAUGCGUCAAAGAGACCACGACCUGACCAAAGACAAAAAACAGCUGAAGGCCCCCAAUAGGAAUUCUUUAAAAUUCACCAAUAUAACCAAAGGAAAUAUAUAGACAUUUAAUAUGUGUUGUUUUUUCGUGUAUCGAGAUACUAUAAAGAAAUAUCCCGCCAAACGUCUUGUGUAGUAGACACAAAACACUGCCAGUGGGACUACUCGAUUUCUUAAAACCUAACUUAUAUCGAAAAGAAAUGGAUUUAUGGAAUGUUUUGAUAAUUAAAAUAUUUGUUUUGAUUUGAUUUGCUUUUUGGUGUUUUAA